GCCAAACAGCUAGCCUGACCACUAACAUAAAUCAACGAUAUAAAUAACAAAACAUAAAUUAUUACCAAAAAUUAAACCAUUUUUUUACCUGAGUAUGGGAGACAGAAAAG
rnacentral:rRNA from 1 species